AAGGUGUGGAUGACGUGAAGUCCUCAUUGGUCUUAUGUGUUGGGCUACACACGUGCAUCAAUGGUACUCACAGUGAGAAGGAAGAAGGCAACUCUCAGCUAAUCCCUAAAAAGAUACCUCAGUUCGGAUUGUACUCUGCAACUCGAGUACAUGAAGCUGGAAUUACUAGUAAUCGCGGAUCAGNGNNGCGGUGAAUACGUUCCCGGGUCUU
rnacentral:rRNA from 1 species